rnacentral:rRNA from 1 species
GACCUCAAUCAGUAGNACUACCCGCUGAACUUAAGCAUAUCA